UACAGAGGUCUCAAGCGUUGUUCGGAUUCAUUGGGCGUAAAGAGCGUGUAGGCGGCUCGGUAAGUCCGCUGUGAAAGUCCAGGGCUCAACCCUGGAAUGCCGGUGGAAACUGUCGAGCUAGAGUCCGGAAGAGGCGAGUGGAAUUCCUGGUGUAGCGGUGAAAUGCGCAGAUAUCAGGAGGAACACCAAUGGCGAAGGCGGGUCUCUGGGCCGAUACUGACGCUGAGGAGCGAAAGCGUGGGGAGCGAACAGG
rnacentral:rRNA from 1 species